rnacentral:rRNA from 1 species
AAUAGAUACCCAGGUAGUCCACGCCGUAAACGAUGAGUGCUAAGUGUUAGAGGGUUUCCGCCCUUUAGUGCUGUAGCUAACGCAUUAAGCACUCCGCCUGGGGAGUACGGCCGCAAGGCUGAAACUCAAAGGAAUUGACGGGGGCCCGCACAAGCGGUGGAGCAUGUGGUUUAAUUCGAAGCAACGCGAAGAACCUACCAGGUCUUGACAUCCUCUGCCAACCCUAGAGAUAGGGCGUUCCCCUUCGGGGGACAGAGUGACAGGUGGUGCAUGGUUGUCGUCAGCUCGUGUCGUGAGAUGUUGGGUUAAGUCCCGCAACGAGCGCAACCCUUGAUCUUAGUUGCCAGCAUUUAGUUGGGCACUCUAAGGUGACUGCCGGUGACAAACCGGAGGAAGGUGGGGAUGACGUCAAAUCAUCAUGCCCCUUAUGACCUGGGCUACACACGUGCUACAAUGGAUGGUACAAAGAGCUGCGAACCCGCGAGGGUAAGCGAAUCUCAUAAAGCCAUUCUCAGUUCGGA